rnacentral:rRNA from 1 species
GAUGAACGCUGGCGGCGUGCCUAAUACAUGCAAGUCGAACGCUGGAAAUCUAGCUUGCUCGAUUGAAGGCGUGGCGCACGGGUGAGUAAUACAUAAGCAACCUACCCACGAAGACUGGGAUAAUCUCUGGAAACGGGGACUAAUACCGGAUAGGUAAUCGGAAGGCAUCUUCUGAUUAUUAAAGGUUAAAAACACUGGUGGAUGGGCUUAUGGCGCAUUAGUUAGUUGGUGAGGUAACGGCCCACCAAGACGAUGAUGCGUAGCCGGCCUGAGAGGGUGAACGGCUAGAUUGGGACUGAGACACGGACCAGACUCGUACGGGAGGCAGCAGUAGGGAAGUUUCGGCAAGGGGGGAAACCCUGACCGAGCAACGCCGCGUGAGUGAGGACGGCCUUCGGGGUGUAAAGCUCUGUUGUAAGGGAAGAACGGUAGAUAGAGAAUAUCUAAAUGACGGUACCUUACCAGAAAGCCACGGCUAACUACGUG